UACCAGACUCCUACGGGAGGCAGCAGUGGGGAAUAUUGGGCAAUGGGCGCAAGCCUGACCCAGCAACGCCGCGUGAAGGAAGAAGGCUUUCGGGUUGUAAACUUCUUUUGUCAGGGAAGAGUAGAAGACGGUACCUGACGAAUAAGCCACGGCUAACUACGUGCCAGCAGCCGCGGUAAUACGUAGGUGGCAAGCGUCGUCCGGAUUUACUGGGUGUAAAGGGCGCGUAGGCGGGGAUGCAAGUUGGAUGUUUAAACUAUCGGCUCAACCGGUAAUUGCAACCAAAACUGCAACUCUUGAGUGAAGUAGAGGCAGGCGGAAUUCCUAGUGUAGCGGUGAAAUGCGUAGAUAUUAGGAGGAACACCAGUGGCGAAGGCGGCCUGCUGGGCUUUAACUGACGCUGAGGCUCGAAAGCGUGGGGAGCAAACAGGAUUAGAUACCCCCGUA
rnacentral:rRNA from 1 species